rnacentral:rRNA from 1 species
AUUGAACGCUGGCGGCAGGCCUAACACAUGCAAGUCGAGCGAGCGGCGGACGGGUGAGUAAUGUCUGGGAAACUGCCUGAUGUAGGGGGAUAACUACUGGAAACGGUAGCUAAUACCGCAUACCAUCAGAUGUGCCCAGAGGGGAUUAGCUAGUGGGUGGGGUAACGGCUCACCUAGGCGACGAUCCCUAGCUGGUUGGAGAGGAUGACCAGCCACACUGGAACGGAGAAACGGUCCAGAAUCCUACGGGAGGCAGCAGUGGGGAAGAUUGGACAAGGGGCGCAAGCCUGAUACAGCCAUGCCGCGUGUGUGAAGAAGGCCUUCGGGUUGUAAAGCACUUUUGGCAGGAAAGCGGUACCUGCAGAAUAAGCACCGGCUAACUACGUGCCAGCCGCCGCGGUAAUAC